rnacentral:rRNA from 1 species
GACGAACGCUGGCGGCGUGCUUAACACAUGCAAGUCGAGCGGUAAGGCCCUUUCGGGGGUACACGAGCGGCGAACGGGUGAGUAACACGUGGGUGACCUGCCCUUAGCUCUGGGAUAAGCCUGGGAAACGUGGGUCUAAUACCGGAUAUGACUCCAUGACGCAUGUUGUGGGGUGGAAAGCCUUGUGCGGCUAGGGAUGGGCCUGCGGCCUAUCAGCUUGUUGGUGGGGUGAUGGCCUACCAAGGCGACGACGGGUAGCCGGCCUGAGAGGGCGACCGGCCACACUGGGACUGAGACACGGCCCAGACUCCUACGGGAGGCAGCAGGUGGGGAAUCUUGCGCAAUGGGCGAAAGCCUGACGCAGCGACGCCGCGUGGGGA